rfam:Candidatus Muproteobacteria bacterium RIFCSPLOWO2_01_FTLL_60_18 rifcsplowo2_01_scaffold_19339, whole genome shotgun sequence.
GCCUUGCCUCCGAAAGGAGGACGCGCAAGCGGAGCGAGAAGUCAGCAGCGGUCGUACUAGCCGUCGAAAGCGCGGUGAAGGAC